rnacentral:sRNA from 1 species
GGACACCUGUGUUCGUGCAUGCGGGCCCUUUUGCUAACAUUGCUCACGGCAACUCUUCAGUGUUGGCUGAUAAAAUUGCCCUGAAACUGGUUGGUGAAGAAGGAUUUGUAGGCUUGUUCUAGGCAUGAAGUGCAGUGAUGAUGGAGAAGGCAUGGACUGUGGCACAAAUAGAAGAGUCAGGGGUUGGCAGCUCCUAUUCCCACUGUACGAUGCCAAGGAUCUUUACCUAUAGGAUAAGGCUUCAAAAACAUAAUUUGUUCUUUCAAGUGCUGAAUACCUCUUGACCGAAGCUGGCUUUGGUGCUGACAUCGGAAUGGAGAAAUUCUUCAACAUCAAGUGCCGAGCUUCCGGCUUGGUGCCCAACGUGGUUGUGUUAGUGGCAACGGUGCGAGCUCUGAAGAUGCAUGGAGGCGGGCCAAGU